rnacentral:rRNA from 1 species
AAAGCGCGCGUAGGCGGCUUGUUAAGUCGGAUGUGAAAUCCCUGGGCUCAACCUAGGCAUUGCAUUCGAUACUGGCAAGCUAGAGUAUGGGAGAGGAAGGUAGAAUUCCAGGUGUAGCGGUGAAAUGCGUAGAGAUCUGGAGGAAUACCGAUGGCGAAGGCAGCCUUCUGGCCUAAUACUGACGCUGAGGUGCGAAAGCAUGGGGAGCAAACAGGAUUAGAUACCCGAGU